UACGUAGGAGGCAAGCGUUGUCCGGAAUCACUGGGCGUAAAGCGCGUGUAGGUGGUGGGACAAGUCUGCUGUGAAAGCGCCUGGCUUAACCGGGCGAGGUCGGCGGAAACUGUUCGACUCGAGGACGGUAGAGGGGGGGGUGGAAUUCCCGGUGUAGCGGUGAAAAUGCGUAGAUAUCGGGAGGAACACCUGUGGCGAAGGCGGCCCCCUGGUUGGAUACUGACGCUGAUACGCGAAAGCGUGGGGAGCAAACAGG
rnacentral:rRNA from 1 species